rnacentral:lncRNA from 1 species
GGACAUAAAUCCCACUCAUGUAGGAAGAGUCCUUUUCCUAGAUAUAUACGUCUCCACUCAUUCAUCACUGAAAAACUAUAAGGAAAACUUUAAAAAGUUCGAGAGAGACACGAAACCUUUAAAACAUAAGAGAGCGACAAGAAAAUAUAUAAAAUUCCUCAAGAAUCAUCUUUUAUAUUAAUUUCAAAUUUGACAUGACGAAGGCCGGUCCCUAUUUGAUGCUGGGGUAGUUGACAAUUGCUAUCUAUACAUGUUUAUCGGAUCUGAUAUCUAGAGAAUAUAUAAAUACACAAAUUAGAUUCCACUAACCUGAAAUUCUUUUACUGUUUUACAGCACUAAGAGUUGACUGCCUCAUAAAGUUGAAAUCAAUUCAGAAAUUUCAGCGUACUGUUCAUAUUGGAUUAAUUACUGAUCAAUAUGGCAAAAAUUUCUUUCCAAAAGAAAAUAUUAAUUACUGUUAAAGAUUUUGCAUAAAAUUGAUAUAUAACAGACACUUUACAAAUGAAAUCAUAAACAAAUGCAGGGACUCAUAGAAGAAGAGAAGUUGAACUCCUUCAACAUUCCUCAAUAUACACCAUCUCCAGCUGAGGUUAAAUCUGAGGUUCUGAAGGAAGGAUCCUUCAUGAUCGAUCGCUUGGAGGUUACUGAAGUGAAUUGGAAUGCGUACCAGAAUGAAUUUGACCUGUCUGAUGCAUUCAAGGAUGGUGGCUACAAUGUUGCAAAGUGCAUGAGGGCUGUGGCUGAGCCAUUGCUUGCCAGCCACUUUGGUGAAGCGAUCAUCGAUGAGGUGUUCCGGAGGUAUAGAGAUAUCGUUGCUAAUCGCAUGUCCAAGGAGAAGACUGAGUUUGUCAAUGUGAUUAUUUCCCUUAUAAAAGGAUAAUCAUCUAAAUUUCUCUAUAUCAAUCAUCCGUGACUGCCCUGAAAAACCCUUGUUCUGAUGAUAAAAUGAUGGCCUUUAUUGUGAUUCAAGGUUAAACUAUUUCUUUGAUCUUCUAGUUGUAUCAGGGUAAAACUAUUUCUUUGAUCUUUUAGAUGCUUCAGGGUAAAAGUAUUCCUUGUAUUGUAUUCGUAGCAUCUUUAUGUAUGAAUUAAUAAAUAAUAAAUAUCAAUCCUUAAUUUCCAAGAGGCCAAUUCCUACUUCCCUAUUAAUUUUGUUUGUCUAUGAUCAAACCCCCAGUAAUAAUCGCUGAGAAAGAUCAGAUGAGGACAGUAGCACAAUUUUCAUAUCAGCUGGCCUUGAUGCUGCUAUAAAUCAUUGAUUUCAUGAAAAUUCGGUAAUUAUAUAUGCCAGUUGGUACAUAUAGUCUCUUCUAUUUAAAUCCUGACACCUAAUCACGUUUUUAAGCAUAACAACUUGUUUAUUAAUUUUGGGUUGAUAACGAUGGGAACAAUGCUAGCUACAUCAAUACCCCAAUUACGGCAUAGACGUCUGUUCAUAGGGGUGUAGUCUAUAAUAAGAUGUACAAAUUAUAUUUCUACCUAAAUUAGCAUGUAUUGGUAGUGGUUGGCUCUCUAUGAUUUAUAGACUUGUAGUUAUCAAUUCAUGAGAAGCCCGAAAUUUUUUUGAGAAAACCAAAAUCUUUUCGUAGACCUCAGGCAUCAAUACAAGAAAGCUCCAAGCUACAAGAGAAGAAGGUGAACAACAGCCCUUGAUCAACAGGUUCAACAGAGCUAACUCAAUUAUAUAAUAUAGAUGAUGGACUUUUAACUGAAACAUGUGAAAUUUGCUGUCUACUUCUUUGUCAUUGAAACGACAAUAGUAACCAAAUUGAAAUCGUUGGAAGCAUGUGUUGCUAACCUUGCGAAUAACCUAUCAAUUAUAGCAUCUCCAAAAUGACUGGCAAGCAACUGUUCUGAAAUAGCUCUUACACAAUUUGCAAGCUUUUGCCCCGUUUCAUACUUGUCCAACACAAGAUCAUUGUCGCUAACGUCGUCGUCAAAAUCCAAAUCAUGGGCCCUGCAUUACUGAGAGAUCGGAUCAAUUCUGGGUCCUAAACAUGUAAUUUAUCUGGUUCCGAUUAAUUCUUAUUCUCCUCCACAAUUUUCCUUUUCUUUUAAUGACUUCUCCUCCACAAUUUUGGUACAAUAUGCGUUGUCCAACACAAAAUCUUUUUUUUUUUUUUUUCUAAAAAUUGCUACCUCUGCUUAGAAAAAGCCUUCCAUAGAAAGAACCUGGUACUCCUAAUAUUGAACAAUGCCCUAAGAGAUCUCCCUUUUCUCUCUUAAGCUUCUCAAGGAAAGCAGGAAGAAACUUGAAGACGUAUUUGGAAAUCAAAUUGGGGUGAUUUCAAAUGCGGUUGUUGGCAAGCAUGUAGAGUCAAAAGAGAAAUUCCAUUGAAAACAAAAUUUAUUUUCCGAUUGUUCUAUUGGAAAUUUGGGAUCCAAUCCUGCUUCACCAGGAUCAAUGAAGGAUUGGAGGUAUAUCGUGCACUAGAGUUAUCUUGUACGAUCCGAUCAUUUAAUUCUCUUUAAAACAAAAACAGAGAUUGACCUGAAAAUGACAUGGAAGCCAUUUUUUGGAAGAUCAUUUAGAAACGCUUGAAACUCAGGUAAUUUCAAUUGUGCUUGUUGGCAUAUCUCAUGAAUAACGCCAUCGAUUUCAGAGACUGUUAAGAAGGUGUUGUGCCCUGAUGAACAGCCCAAGUCUGCCACUUUAACACGAUUUGGAAAAAAGUUGCAGAGUAAGUCUUUGAUAGUAUCUUCUAGGAUUCUCUUUGUCUUCAACAACACUUUUUUCUUAAAGAAUUAUAGCCAACAAAGAGGGAAAAAAUACAACAAAUCAAGUCUAAAGCAGGUAAAGGAAAAAUGAAGGCAUUAGAAAAGAAUAAUGUACUAAAUGUUAAAGAAAGGAAGAGACUCGUCAGCUAGAAUUAUUGGCACAGCUGAUUUCUUUAUCUCCCUUAUUCAUGCAACCAGCACUUGCUUCGCCAACAUCCAUUAUGCAGCGCUCCCAAUGGAAUCUCGUGGUUCUUCUCGUAUUUAAAGAAUUGAAACUUAUUAUUGGCACACAGUAGAAAACAAUACAUCAGAAAUCAAGGACUUUUACAGGUUUGCUAGAUAUUUUUGUCCACGUAUUCAGGGACGAAGUUAGAAUAUUUUCAAAAAGAGAGCCAAAUAGAAAGAGAUAUUAAACGGUUAAAAAUUUUUUUAUAUAUAACUCAAUUAUCAUUCAUCUAAAAAAUUAAAUAAAAUUUAAAAGAUAAUGAACAUAUCAAAAAAUGCAUAUUAAUAGUAAUGAUGGUGUCAUUUAUAUAUACAACUGAAUGAAACUAUAAAAUGAGUCUCUCUCACUCUUUGCGCGCAACAAUGGAAGAGAAAAUAAUUUUUCAAACUUAAAUGAAUUACUUCUUUAUUUUGUGUGUCAUAACUCUUUUCUUAUUUUCUAUUUGCCUCUUAAAUUGCCAAUUAAUAUAUUGAGUUAUUGGAUAAAAUUAUUUAAAUAUAAUAUGUUUUGAUAAGCUAUUAGGUUGGACUACUAAGAUGUAAUAUAUUAUGAUAGACUUAAAUUUAUAUUAAAACUUAAUGGGUUUUGAUUAGUAGACUCACUUUUAUUUUUUAUNAUGGAACUAUUUAAAUAUAAUAUGUUUUGAUAAGCUAUUAGGUUGGACUACUAAGAUGUAAUAUAUUAUGAUAGACUUAAAUUUAAAUUAAAACUUAAUGGGUCUGAAUUGGUAGACUCACUUUUAUUUUUUUAUAAAUUUGAUAGGUUUAAGAUAUUAGUUUAGAAUUUAUUUGUUGGGUUUAAUUAGUAAUAUACUAGCCAUAAUGACUCUAAUUUUAUCAAACAGUAUAAAGAAUAAAAAUAAUUAUUAAACAAAAAAUUAUUUUGAGAGCCAUUAAAAAUAAAUAUAAUAAAUAAAAUUAUAUUGAAAGAAAUAUAAUUAUUUCAUUCUAUCAAUUUAUAUAUAUAUAUAUAUAUUCUUGUUAUUUAAAGUUUGCAACAUACAUACUAAGAUACAUUGGUUAUUCUAAAUAAAAAAUAAUAUAUUGAUAAAAUUUUAAACAGCAAUGCAAUACUGCAACUUAUAUUUAAGAAUUACAUAAUAAUUUAUUUAUUUUUAAAGAUUAAAAUCAUAGAAAAUAAAAUCCACAUAACAAAAAAAGAAGAACAUGAAAAGUAGAAGAUAAAAUCCACAUAUGACAUAAUAAAAAAAAUAUGAUUGAUGUUUGGUAUAAAUUUGUGAGAAAAAAUAUAUUGAGAUGUAUAACAUAUGAAUAAAUAGAAUAUAAAUAAUAAUAAUAAUAUAAAUUAAAAAAAUAAAAAAACUUUAAAAUUGAGUCAAGCAUAUGAAACUAUUUUGUUAUUUUUUAUUUGUAAUAAUUAUUAAAUAAAAAUUUAUUUUGAAUGGGCUAUUAAAAAAAUUUUAAAAUUUUGGAAGGCCAUGAGCAAGCUCCGCCCCUACUCGUAUCCGUAUCUAGAAGCAAGAACAAGGAAGAAACUCAAUCCUUAGAACCAAGGGCAGAGGGUAAGCCAACAAUGGGGGGGCCGUGGCAACCUCAAAAUUUUUAAAAAUAUUUAUUUUAUAUAUAUAUAUUUUAUCAUUGGCCCCCCCCAAAAGUUUUAAAAAUUUUUAUUUAUUAUAUAUUAUUAAUGGGCCACUCAAAAUAAAUUUUUUAUCUAAUAAUUAAUAUAAAUAAAAAAAUCAAACAUCCUCACAAACUUACUUAACUUUACCCUAAUUUAAGUUUCUCUACACCUCUUUUUCUUUUUCUUUUUCUCUUAUCUUUUGUGUCUUUUUAUUUAUAUUUCUCUUUGUUCGUAACUUACCACUAAAACACACCAUAUUCUUCAAAAGAGAUUUAUGAGCUUGUGAGUUUGGAUAAGGAAAGACAGAGAUCACUCACUACCAUUGUGUAAAAUUAAGAAGAGGUAAAGUUUUCUUUUACUUUCUUCUUUCUAUUUAUAUUAUUUAAGAAUUAUGUAAAAUCCUAUAUUUCGUAUUGAAUUAUUUAUAUUUUAUUCAUUAUAGUUUUAUGUUUUAUUUUUCAAGUUUAAAUAUAAAUGAGUAAGAAUAUUGAAUGUUGACUACAUUAUUUUUUUUUUUUAGGUUUGAUUAAAAUAUGAGUAAGUUGAAAAUAAUUGACAAAUUUUUUAAAAGAAAAGACGUAGAUCACUCAAAUGAUUCUCCUACACUUAAGCCACCAAACCUUAAUACUUCAACUCAUGAACUAAAGCAGUGCGAAUCAAAACGUCCAAGGCUCAAUCUUGAAGAAAUUGAUACUUUUCAUUUAAAACCUAACCCUGGAUUAUGACCAAUGAUAUGAGAAUUUCCUAUCAAAGGGAUAAAAUUCAUCGUGCUUAUCUCAAACGUGGGCCAUGUCAAUCCAUCCUUAAGACGUAUCCUUUAUCAGAUGAUGAUCAUCCUCGUCAUUUUCAAGCUUCUUGGUUUAAAUUAUAUCCUUCUUGGUUGGAGUAUUCUUGUGACAAGGACGCUAUAUUUUGUUUGCCAUGCUACUUUUUUGGUAAGAACACCUCGAAUCAUCCAGGUUCAAAUGCAUUUAUUGAAAAGGGUUUCAAAAGUUGGAAGUGUUGGGUGAGGGCUGAUUAUACAUCAAAUGUAAAUAAAACGCAGUGAAAAUAAAUUUAAAAAAAUUAAAUUUACGUCUCAUCCUCCUAGGAUCUCUUUCAUGCUAAAUUGAGUACAGAAUUAAAUUAAAAAUAAAAGUACAUGAUUAGAUCACUUUACCUAAAUAACAAAGGUUGAUGAAUCCUUUGUUAAACCACCAAAUCAGCAUUCGAAAAAACUCAACCACCUCAGCCCCGUUGUUGCAAACCAAAGCUGUCCAAGGAAUCUUUAUGCAGCCUCUAAUGGUGAUCCACACCAAUGAACGAGAAAAUCCUUUUGUAAGGAUUAGAAGUGCUAAGCCUUGACAAUGUGCUAGCAAAGAUGAGUUUCAUAAAUUCAUAAUCCACACAAAAUUGUGGGGCUGAACACACAAAAACGAAGUGAAAUGAAAAACUAUUUUUCUUCACCUAAGGAAUGGCAAGACAAAAGAAUUUCUAAUGUGCCGUUCACUACUUUUUUUUUUCAGCCGUUCUCCACUGCUUUGUUUGGAGGUUAUAGCAAGGUAUUUAUACAUUGGAUUAAUUUUAAACCCUAAUUACAAAACUAUUUUGUAAUUACCAAUUAAUCCAAUAAUUUGAUUAAAUAAUUUAAUUAAGUCUUUAAGAAGCCCAAUUAACUUAAUUGUUUAAUUUAAUCAAUUAGGCUCAAUAACUUAAUUAAAUAAUUUAAUUAAUUAAGCCCAACAAUUUAAUUAAACAAUUUUAAUCAAGUAGGCCUAAUGACUUAAUUAAACAAAUUCAAUCAAUUAGGCCCAAUAAUUUAAUUGUUUAAUUUAAUUAAUUAGGCCCAAUGACUUAAUAAAACAAUUUAAUUAAUUAGGCCCAAUGAUUCAAUUAAACAAUUUAGUUAAUUAGGCACAACUUAAUUAAACAAUUUUAAUCAAGUGCUUGAGAAGCUCAUAACUUUUAAUUUGAUUAAGUCCAACUUAAUCACCUCUCCCAUUUUAUUUUCAACAUUCAUUUUAGGUGUGUGACCCAUUAGGCUUCUAACAUGUUGGCAAUGGACUCAACAUAUAAUUCUUAAGUUAAACUUAGAAUUAGAUAAAUUUAAACUACUUUAAAUUUAUCAUUAAUCAAGCUAACUACCUAAAAUUCAUACACCAAGAUUGAGAUCUAGCAAUCCAUCAUGGCCACCCAAAUGUUAGAAGAGUCAAGAUGGUUUGACUCAACCUUUCAGAGUAAUUCAUUCCCUCAUCAUAUAUCCCGGAGAUGAUAAGAGCAUGGUGUAGUGUCUACUCUUAUUGAUCUCUAUAUUCGUUCUUAAAGUUUGAUCAUCAGCUUUAUAAAGACUUAUGAAACUCCUUUUAUAAACUUUAAGUCACCUUGGCCAAGGACUUCAAUAAGCUAAUAUCAACCAAGGACAGCGAGGAUAUGUCCCCUGCAUCACUUGGGGUGAUGAUUCCUAUCUUGACCACUCAUUUGCCUUCACAUGCUUCAUGCUAUAUCCAAAAGCAUCUUGUUUAGGCAUCCUUGGUUAGGCACCCGUAGUUAUGAAAUCAAAGCAUAGCACUUCACACAUAAGACAACUUGGUGUUCAAGUUUAGGGAGUAUUUAUACAACUAACACAUGAGAAGUAUUGCAUAGACACUUGAGUGAAAUACCAAAUGCACUUCUCAUAACGGGUCAUGUUCAGUGAACUUGCUCUCCUAGGCAAGCACUUACAUUCUAGUUUCAAGUAUCUUUAUACUUCAACCUAUGAGAUCGGUUGCUUAUUUCUCAAGUAAAGAACAUAGAAUGUACUAGUCUUUAAGUAUCAUUGAUGUCCAGUCUCAAUGAUACAUUGACCAGGAAUAUUUUGAUAUUAUGUUUUGAUGCAUAAGGAUCUCAUAACUGCAACCCAUUACAGUUCCCUUGCAAGGCAUAUUAAUCUCAUGGACUUCAUCCAAUUAGACUUAUAACUUGUUAUAAUUAAUGUUUUAUUGAUGAAGGAAAACCUUUAAUCAUUCAACAUGAAUGAUGUUGUUGCAUGAUUGGAAUCAAGCUUUAACCAAUCCCAAUUGGCUGCAAGGCUCAUCUCAAUAGGAAGAAACUAAAUAAUAGAGAAAAUUGUCCACUUUUGAAUCAUGUUGGGAAAAAUUCAAAUUCCUUACAUAAUGUUACUAUAAAAUCUUGUGAGGGUUUAUUGAAAAAAUCCCAACAUAUUGAUAGGCUUAUCAAAAGACAAGCAUCAGAAGAGAUCUUGAAUAAUUGGCUUAGGCUCAAAGCUUCUAUAGAUUGUGUUAGAUGGUUAACUUUUCAAGCUUGUGCAUUUAGAGGUCAUGAUGAAAGUCCAUCCUCAAAAAAUAGAGGAAAUUUCUUUGAAAUGCUGAAAUUCUUAGGAUCUUCAAUGACAAAGUUCGUAAGCUUGUCUUGGAAAAUGCUCCACGGGUUGCUAAGUACACAUCCAAUGAUGUUCAAAAUGAGAUUUUGCAUAUUUUGGCUAAUAUAGUGAGAAAUUCAAUUAAAGAGGAAGUGGAAAAUGCUAAGUUUUGUAUUAUUAUUGAUGAAGCUCGAGAUGAGUCUAAAAAAGAACAAAUGGCUAUUAUUUUAAGAUUUGUUAAUGGUGAUGGUUUUGUUCAAGAAUGUUUCUUUGAUCUUUGUACACGUUAGUGAUACCGAUGCAAUGACUUUGAGGAAAGAGUUAAUGUCUGUUUUUUCUCGUUAUAACCAUCAAGUUGAAAGUAUUCGAGGUCAAGAAUAUGAUGAUGCUAAUAACAUGCGUGGUGAAUGGAAUGGUUUACAAGCUUUGAUACUUAACGAUUGUCCAUACGCAUAUUAUGUGUAUUGUUAUGCUCAUAGAUUACAAUUAGCAUUAGUUGCAGCAUUUAGAGAAGUAGUUCAUGUGCAUGAAUUUUUUACACAGUUGACUUCUAUUGUAAAUAUUGUUAAUGCUUCUUCCAAAAGACAUAGCCAAUUACAAGCUGCUCAAGCAAUUGACAUUGCAAACAUGAUUGCUAGUGAUGAACUUGAAACAAGUAGAAGAGCAAACCAAGUGGGAACUCUACAAAGAGCUGGAGAUACUCGAUGGAGCUCACACUUUCAUUCUAUUUGUAGCUUGAUGAGAAUGUUUGAUGUAACCUGCACUGUAGUGGAAAGUAUUAUUGAUGAAGGGGCCAGUUAUUCAUAAAGAGGUGGUGCUUCUGUUGCUAGUAAAAUAUUAGCAUCAUUUGAAUUUAUUUUUUUAUUACACUUGACGUAUGAGAUCAGGGGAAUCACUAAUGUUCUUUGCCAAGCAUUACAAUUACGCUAUCAAGAUAUUGUAAAUGUAAUUCAUCUUGUUUUUACUACAAAAUCACUCUUUCAGAAGUUGAGAGAUUAUGGGUGGUCUAAUUUGCUUGAGAAUGUGAAAAAAUUUUGUCAAAAACAUGAGAUAGAAAUUCCUGACAUGGGUGCACGAUAUAUCUUAGGCAGAGGUCGAUCUCAUCAACCAAAUGUAACUGUGGAGCAUCAUUAUCGAGUUGAUAUAUUCUUAGUGACGAUAGAUACCCAGUUAUAAGAAUUGAAUUCAAAAUUCAGUGAGCAAGUUGUGGAACUUUUAACUUUAAACACUGCUUUGGAUCCUAAUAACAAUUACAAAUCAUUCAAUAUUGAUAAUAUAUGCAAGUUAGUAGAGAGUUUUUAUUCUCAGGAUUUCACAGAACAAUAAAGACUUAUUUUGAGAUUACAAUUGAGGCAUUACGAGCUCAAUAUAUCUCAUCAUCAAAGUUUUGAAGAUAUUAAGAUACUUUCUGAAUUGUGUCAGAGAUUAGUAGAAACAGAAAAGUCAAAGAAUUAUCACUUGAUUGAUAGAUUAAUUCACUUUAUUUUGACUCUUUUGGUUUCUAUAGUAACUACAGAGAGAGCCUUUUCAGCAAUGAAAAUUGUAAAAAUAAGACUCUAGAAUAAAAUGGAUGACGAAUUUCUUGUAGAUAAUUUAGUUGUUUAUAUUGAGAAAGACAUUGCUAGUCUUUUCAGUACAAAGUCAAUAAUUAAUGAAUUUGAAUUUAAAAAACAUCGUCGAACACAAUUUUUUUAUAUAACUAUUAUAAGUUUUUUUUAGUUUUUUUAUUUGUAUGUUAAAUUAUUAUCUAUUAUGAAUUUUUUAUUCGUUGGUUAAAUUCAAUAUAUUAAUUUUAAAAAUUUUUAAUUUUUAUUUUUUUCAUCUUUGACCCCUAACCAAAAUUAGUUAGUUCCGCCAUUGCUUGGAACAUCUAUAUUUUUGUGGUGGAUUCGUACGCAACUUUUGUAGAAAAUUAUGUUAUAAGCAUGCCAAAUAUUAUAAUACAACAUCAUUUGUCUGGGAUAAUUCAACUGAUUUGACCCUUUUGAUUGAUAUUUAGCUGUGUCUGGGAGUACAGAGGAAUCUCUGCUUUUCACCACAAGAUGAUGGGGGUAGGUUCGACUAAUGAAUGAUUAAUCUACUCCACAACCACGUUUAUCUUGUUUGCUAAGAGAAAUCGAUGUCAAAGAAUUGAGGAAGGCAGAACGAGGACAAGAUUUCAAUAGGUGUGAAUUCAGGACGGAGGGUCAUGUACGGUUCACCUUUUGGUCUUCGGCGAUAUCUACGUUCGUCUUUUUCUCUCUGGGAUAGAGUUUGUCUCGAUUUCAUUAUUUGUUUUAGGGCCUUUAUCCAGAACUCACUUCUGUUUUAGGAGCUAUUCCUGUCGAGGCUGCUGCCAAUUGCUCUUUAAGCAGCUGCUUCUUUUGUAAUUUUACAGAAUAAAUUCUUCCCAAAGCUUGCUUCUAUGCCAAUCAUUAAUAUAUAAAAUUUUAUUUUUUUUAAAAAAAGUAUAUUAUGGGGGGAUGUGGUCUCUAAAUUUUAUUUAUUUAUUAUAUAUAUUUUAAUUUCUCUCUUAAAAUAAUUUUUUUAUUUCUUCAAUAGGAUUGGAGUCAUGGCCAAUGUCACAGGUUGAAACUUACACCUAACCUCAAAUGGCUCCAAAAGACAUGUUUGAUAGGUAGUGAAAGACCCAUAUUUAUAUACUUAAACUCACCUCAUUUCUCACUGAUGUGAGAUCUAUGAUAUUUUACUUCACCUGUGACAUUCUACCUCAACCAUUUGUGCAAUGUUUUCAUUGUACUGGCUUUUUUACCCAUAAAGGAGAAGCGCUUUUACAUUAGUUUGAGUUUAUUUCGACCCUUGUAUCUCUUAUGAGGUUCGACCCUUAUAUCUCUUAUGGGGUUCACACAUCAGUGAAGAUCUAGGUUUGCUUUGAUAACAUUUGUCACAGGUCAAAAUUUAAGCCUAACCUAGCUUGUGGGUCUUAAAUUCUGAAAAUAGAGCUUCAAUAAGCCUAUAAAUCAUAAGUCCGUGUUUCUAACUCAAAAAACAUACCUGAAAGGUGGUGGAAGAUUCAUAUUUAUAUAUCCAAGAUUCAUCUCAUCUCUUAUUGAUGUGGGAUCUGUGACAAUCAGUAUAUUGUUAAUUAAGACUAGUAUAUAAAUUUUAACUCAAUAUGUUAAGCUUAUCAAUUUUUUUUUUAAAAAUAAGAAUGAGUCUACUAACUCAAACCCACUAAGUCUUAAUAUAAAUUUAAAUUUAUCAUAACUUAUUGUAUCCCAAUAGUACAUUUCUCAAGAAACUACCCAUUUUCAUGCAAAACACAUAAAGUAAAUUGGUAAUUCAUUUUAGUUUUUUUUUCACUCUUGCACAUAGAGAGUGAAAAUUGAAUUAAAUAUAAAAUUCUCUUUGACAGUUAAAUGUCUCUUUUUAUUUGACUCUCUAAAAAUGCUUUAGAUCCGCCAUGGGUGUGAUUAGAGGCGGAGGGAGGGGGGGCUAGUAGGGGCCCCCGCCCGCUCCCCCCCUCCCCACCAAAAGCUUAAAAAUUUUAUAAUUUUGUCUUUGUUUUGUUUUAAAAUUUUAUAAUUUUACUCUUUUUUAAAAAAAAUUUAUAAUUUCAUCCCUUUAAAUAUUAAAUUUUUUAUUUUUACCUCCUAAAGUUGCAAAACUUUAUAAUUUUGUCUUUGUUUUGUUUUAAAAAUUUAUAAUUUUACUUUUAUUUUUUAAAAAAUUUUAUAGUUUCAUUCCUCCAAAUAUUAAAAUUUUUUUUUUAUCUCCUCAAAUAUGAAAUCUUGACUUUGUCGGUGGGUGUGAUAUGUAUUUUUUCAAUAGAGGAAUUGGGAUGAAAAAUCCAUUGUUAACUUGAUGAUGAACAUCUUAAGGUCCAAUCAUGCGUAGCAAGGAAGGUGAUCAUUUGAAUCAACUUGAACCUCUGUUUUUGUACAAAUUCCUUUUUUUUCUUUUAAGGUGAAAUAUAAUUUUGUAAAAUUUUUUAAUAUAAAAAAAUAUGAAAUAAAUGAGACUAGACAGAGAAAGAAACAUGGUGAGAGACACCAGCCGCAGCGGGUGAGACAAGAAAGAGAAGAAGGGAGGAAGCCAAUGGGCAAUGAUGUUGGAUGGAGAUCCAUGCGGAAUCGAAAAACCAAAAUGGUCAAGGUAAAAUCUCGUUUAUUGAUCCAAAAAAGACGCAGCAGCUGACAGCAAUGAAAAGGAGGACAAUGGCAAUGAGAGCAAUGUUACAAUGACGCCAUUCACCAUGUGCCUUCUUUAAUGCAAUUCCCCUUCUUGUCCCAUCUGCAUGCAUUUAUAUAAAUGGUUGUCAGGUACGAGUGACAAGAUGAAAUGAAUUUCUAGCAAACCAUAAUCAAGACAGUUCCAGUACGAGUAUUCAGUUUAUCACUAUUACAAGGAAUCUCUUUUUGCAUUUGGAAAUUGAGGGAGGGUGAUGGAAAAUACCCCUAAAUUCAUCGUGUUGAGAGCAGAAGGCAAUAAUUGAUUCAAAAACCCCAAGAACGAAAACGACAAUAACCACGCUUUGCACAGUUUUUCUAUUCUGUGGUUGCAUGAAGCUUGUGGCUGUUAUAUUUCUAGUCUUUAACAGAGAGCAAGUUGUCAAAGAUACUCUGUUAUAAAACUAAAACAGAAAGGCUUUCAAAACUUGAAAGAAAGACUAUCGAUGGUUACAAAAAACUGCAAGUCUACUUCAUUGAUCAGAUUAAAGUACAAGUUAAAUAUGCAGUAGGCAUGAUUAACACUUGUAACAUACUAUAGACACAGGUGUUAUGGCAUAAAGACAACAAACUCAUGCAGCUAUACACGUAGGAGAUGGAAUUAGUAGAAAACAUGCAUGACUAAUGACCACUACAAUGAAGCAAAGUAUAACAAAAGCUUGACAAGUGUACAUUAUCAUGCAAGUAUUAACUUAACAGUGGCCUCGUAGCCAAGGCACAGCCGACUGUUGCAAUACGGGUCUUUCCUUUAAUUGGUCGGAAUGGAAGAUUUAAUUCAUCUGAAAAAUGUUUUUUUUUUUGGAGUGACAUCUGGAAAAUGUUAGUAAUAAAAUGAUCAUGACCCAUCGGCCUGGCGACCUGAGGCAAAUAACAUAUCUAUAAAUAGGGCAUGUAACAUCUCAUUGAGCACACAAAUUUACCAUCAAUUAUCCAGCUUGAGAGGCAGUAAAAGAGAGAUAGAGAUCGAGAUGGAAGUGGUUCAAGUGCUUCACAUGAAAGGAGGAGUUGGAGAAACCAGUUAUGCAAACAACUCCCUGCUUCAGGUUAUUAACUCUCCAGAUAUAUUUACUAGUUUAAAUCACAAAAUCUGUUUACUAAUAUCAGUAUACCCAAGUAUCUUUUGAUCUUGACAAUAUAGAUAGGUAAGUUUGUUGACAUAUUCAUAUUUGGGAAAAUAUCAUAUUUGUCAAAAACUUUUCUAAGAUAUUUUGGCUUGAACUUUGGACAGCAAAAGGUGCUAUCCAUGACGAAGCCAAUCAGAGAGGAAGCCAUGACUAAGCUCUAUUGCAGCACCUACCCUGCAGGCAUAGCCAUCGCAGACUUGGGUUGUUCUUCAGGACCAAACACCUUGUUUGUGGUAUCUGAACUUAUCAAACUGGUGGACAGUAUUCGCCAAAAGCUAGGCCAAAGAUCCACCGAGUAUCAAGUGUUUUUGAAUGACCUUCCAGGGAAUGACUUCAACACGAUUUUCAGGUCCUUACCCAGCUUCCAGAACAAACUGAAGAAACAACUUGGAGGUGGCAGCGGGCCAUGUUUUUUCAACGGUGUCCCUGGUUCUUUCUAUGGCAGGCUUUUCAGACACAAUAGUCUGCAUUUUGUACACUCUUCCUAUAGUCUUCACUGGCUCUCUCAGGUUUAGUAUCAGCAAAUUUCUGAAAUUAUUAAUGAAAAAUAUAGUAGCAGCAGAACGUAGUUUGCAAUUUAUGAGUGAACUAUUAUAUUCCGUUCAGGUUCCCGAAGGACUGGAAAGUAAUAAAGGCAACAUUUACAUUGCUAACACAAGCCCGCCAGACGUGCUUAAGGCAUAUUAUGAACAAUUCCAGCAAGAUUUUUCAUUGUUUUUGAAGUGUAGAUCAGAGGAACUGGUGGAGGGAGGGCGCAUGGUAUUGACAUUUUUGGGAAGGAGAAGCGAUGACCCUUCAAGCAAAGAGUGUUGUUACAUUUGGGAACUCUUGGCCAUGGCUCUCAAUGAUAUGGUCUUUGAGGUACAGAGUUACAUGGACAUAGAUCCUACUCAUGUAGGAAGAGUCCUUCUCCUUGAUAUAUAUGUCUCCACUCAUUUAUAUAUAACUAAAAAACUAAAUGAAAAGGGUAAAAUACCUCUAUUUUUUAAAUUUUAUUCGAAAUUUUAUAUAAAUUUAUUAAUUUUUGAAAUAGAUAUUUUAUUUUAAAAAUAUUUUUUACUGGACACAUAGGUCUAAUCGUUGAUUAACCAUUAAUAUGUCAGUUAAUUUGAUGAUAUUAUAAUAUUAAAAAAUAAUUUUAUUUUUUUUAUUUUAAAAAUUAUUAUUAUAUAAUUUUUUUUAAAAAAAUCAGGGACUCAUAAAAGAAGAGAAGUUGAACUCUUUCAACGUACCUAAUUACUUGCCAUCUCCUGCUGAGCUUAAAUCUGAGGUUCUGAAGGAAAGAUCCUUCACCGUCGAUCGUUUGGAGGUUACUGAAGUGAAUUGGAAUGCAUAUCAGAAUGAACCUGACCUGUCUGAUGCAUUCAAAGAUGGUGGCUACAAUUUUGCAAAGUGCAUAAGGGCUGUGACUGAGCCAUUGCUUGCCAGCCACUUUGGUGAAGCAAUC